UACGGGGGGUGCGAGCGUUGUCCGGAAUCACUGGGCGUAAAGGGCGCGUAGGUGGCCUGAUAAGGGUGUGGUGAAAGUCCGGGGCUCAACCCCGGAUCUGCCGUGCCGACUGUUAGGCUAGAGUACUGUAGGGGCAGGCGGAAUUCCGGGUGUAGCGGUGAAAUGCGUAGAUAUGCGGAGGAACACCGAUGGCGAAGGCAAUCCCCUGGGCCUGCACUGACGCUCAUGCACGAAAGCGUGGGGAGCAAACAGG
rnacentral:rRNA from 1 species